rnacentral:rRNA from 1 species
UACGGGGGGGGCAAGCGUUGUUCGGAAUUAUCUGGGUCGGUAAAGGGCGCGUAGGCGGCCCGCUAAGUCGAAACGUGAAAGUCCCCGGGCUUAACCCGGGAACUGCGUCCGAUAACUGGCAGGCUUGAAUCCGGGAGAGGGAUGUGGAAUUCCAGGUGAUAGCGGUGAAAUGACGUAGAUAUCUGGAGGAACACCGGUGGCGAAGGCGGUCACUCG